rnacentral:rRNA from 1 species
AAAAACAUGUCUUUUUGGUUAUUUAAUAUAAAGUCUGACCUGCCCACUGAAUUUAAUUUUGAAGGGCCGCAGUAUUUUGACUGUGCAAAGGUAGCAUAAUCAUUAGUCUUUUAAUUGAAGGCUGGUAUGAAUGGUUGGAUGAGGUACAAGCUGUGUCAUAAAAAUUAAUAUUUGAAUUUAACUUUUUAGUCAAAAGGCUAAAAUUUAAUUGAAAGACGAGAAGACCCUAUAGAGCUUUAUAUAAUGAUUAUUUAAUUUAUUAAGAUUUAUUAAAUUUAAUUAUUUUAUUGUAUUUUGUUGGGGUGACAAUAAAAUUUAAAAAACUUUUAUUAUUAUUUUACAUUUAUUUAUGAUUUUAUGAUCCAGUUUUAUUGAUUAUAAAUUUAAGUUACCUUAGGGAUAACAGCGUAAUUUUUUUUGAGAGUUCAUAUCGACAAAAAAGAUUGCGACCUCGAUGUUGGAUUAAGAGUAAUUUUGGGUGUAGAAG